rnacentral:rRNA from 1 species
UGCGGAGGGAUCAUUACACAAUAUGAAAGCGGGUUGGGACCUCACCUCGGUGAGGGCUCCAGCUUGUCUGAAUUAUUCACCCAUGUCUUUUGCGCACUUCUUGUUUCCUGGGCGGGUUCGCCCGCCACCAGGACCAAACUAUAAACCUUUUUGUAAUUGCAAUCAGCGUCAGUAAACAAUGUAAUUAUUACAACUUUCAACAACGGAUCUCUUGGUUCUGGCAUCGAUGAAGAACGCAGCGAAAUGCGAUACGUAGUGUGAAUUGCAGAAUUCAGUGAAUCAUCGAAUCUUUGAACGCACAUUGCGCCCUUUGGUAUUCCAAAGGGCAUGCCUGUUCGAGCGUCAUUUGUACCCUCAAGCUUUGCUUGGUGUUGGGCGUCUUUGUCUCUCACGAGACUCGCCUUAAAAUGAUUGGCAGCCGACCUACUGGUUUCGGAGCGCAGCACAAUUCUUGCACUUUGAAUCAGCCUUGGUUGAGCAUCCAUCAAGACCACAUUUUCUUAACUUUUGACCUCGGAUCAGGUAGGGAUACCCGCUGAACUUAAGCAUAUCA